AGUAACACAUGAUCAACUUAACCUAUGGAGAAAAAUAACCUCGGGAAACUGAGGAUAAUGUUUCAUAGUUGAAUAGGCUUGGAAAAGUUUUUCAAUUAAAGGGAUAAGAUAAAUGGUUCUUAUUUGCCAUAGGAUAGGAUCGUGUUCGAUUAUGGUUGUUGGUGAGGUAAAGGCUCACCAAGCCGAUAAUCGAUAGGGGCCGUGAGAGCGGGAGCCCCGAGAUGGGUACUUAGACAGCGACCCAGACCUUACGAGGUGCAGCAGGCGCGGAACCUCCGCAAUACACGAAAGUGUGACGGGGUUACCCAAAGUGUCCUUAUUGGACUGUGGUAGGUGAGUAAUGUCCCCUACUAGAAAGGAGAGGGCAAGGCUGGUGCCAGCCGCCGCGGUAAAACCAGCUCUUCAAGUGGUCGGGAUGAUUAUUGGGCUUAAAGUGUCCGUAGCCGGUUUAGUAAGUUCCUGGUAAAACCAAGCAGCUUAACUGUUUGUAUGCUAGGAAUACUGCUAUACUAGAGGGCGGGAGAGGUCUGAGGUACUA
rnacentral:rRNA from 1 species